GGGAUUGUAGCCCAGUGGUAGAGCAUCUGCUUUGCAAGCAGAAGACCCCAGGUUCAAUCCCUGGCAACUCCA